GGCAACGUCGCUCGCUUCGCUUCGAUGCGCAGCGAACAAUGUUGCCAGAUCGUUGGUUAGCCCAGUUUUACACCAUUAUCCUAGUGGAAGUUGGUUUUAAUCUAUGAUUAGUACUCUGCGGUGACAUCGGAUGGCGCUGUACGCAAGGUACAAUUUAAUAAGGUAGAGUUGCCCAUCUCUAUCCUUCCUUGUCUCUGAAAUGGCCGACGUCUUAAGUUGUCAUCAAACUCGUUGAAGAAAAAUAGAUUUAAAUAAAUGAACGUUAUUCAAGAAAACUAAUAAAUCUUUACCCACAAGUUAUGUUAAAUAAGAAAAUAAAAUUAUCAUCCGACUCACUGCGAAAAAGAAAGGAUUGGAGUUCAAUGUGGUAUCUGGAUUAUGGAUUGUCUCUUGUGUUCGGGGCACUAACUAAUUUUCUGGAUUGUCUACAGGAUUCUUCUUACGGGAAAUUGAACUGCUUGUUCUUCGGAAAUAGGGUCUUGGAUGAUCGGAAGAUUCUCUUUUUAUUUUAAUAUCACAUACAUUGGAGUACACGCCAAAUUUCAACAAUGAGUAAAGUUAGAAAAAUUCAAAUUCAAAUCAAGGAUUUCUUCCUCAAAUUAACGUUAAAACCUCAAAAGAUGGAUGAAAAAUGUGCUUUAGGAGCUGAACUAUAAUAAUUGAUACUUUUGGAAGCAAACAAAACGGUUUAAGAUAAGAUUUUCACCAACAAAAAAUCUCUCUGUCACAAUUUCUAGGUUAUGUUCUCUCGGUGAACUAAGAGAAUGUUAAAAUUAUCACAGUAUUUAUAAAAGGGGUAUUUAUCUGGGUAUUUACCCCGAUUCAGGGUAAAUACCCAAACAGUACACAUAAAAGUGAUACAAGUAAAAAUAUAACAGAUUCGGACAAAAAUGUAGAGGAACAUGAUGAAGUGAGCGUUGAAGACGAGGAAUUGUCAACGAUCGAAGACGUAUUAUUAUCAGGUAACCACUUGAGCUUUGCCACAAUGUUGACCGCAUC